rnacentral:rRNA from 1 species
CUUGGUCAUUUAGAGGAAGUAAAAGUCGUAACAAGGUCUCCGUAGGUGAACCUGCGGAGGGAUCAUUACACAAAUAUGAAGGCGGGCUGGAACCUCUCGGGGUUACAGCCUUGCUGAAUUAUUCACCCUUGUCUUUUGCGUACUUCUUGUUUCCUUGGUGGGUUCGCCCAUCACUAGGACAAACAUAAACCUUUUGUAAUUGCAAUCAGCGUCAGUAACAAAUUAAUAAUUACAACUUUCAACAACGGAUCUCUUGGUUCUGGCAUCGAUGAAGAACGCAGCGAAAUGCGAUAAGUAGUGUGAAUUGCAGAAUUCAGUGAAUCAUCGAAUCUUUGAACGCACAUUGCGCCCUUUGGUAUUCCAAAGGGCAUGCCUGUUCGAGCGUCAUUUGUACCCUCAAGCUUUGCUUGGUGUUGGGCGUCUUGUCUCUAGCUUUGCUGGAGACUCGCCUUAAAGUAAUUGGCAGCCGGCCUACUGGUUUCGGAGCGCAGCACAAGUCGCACUCUCUAUCAGCAAAGGUCUAGCAUCCAUUAAGCCUUUUUUUCAACUUUUGACCUCGGAUCAGGUAGGGAUACCCGCUGAACUUAAGCAUAUCAAUAAGCGGAGGA